AGUGUGAAAGUCAAGAGUCAUGCGAGAGUAGUACUUCUCAAUGACUUGACGUGAAGAUUUCUUCACCGUCUUGGUUCUAACACGCCCCAUCUUUCAGUGACUUACC
rnacentral:sRNA from 1 species